UUAAGUGACUAAGCGUACACGGUGGAUGCCUGGGCAGUCAGAGGCGAUGAAGGACGUACUAACUUGCGAUAAGCGCAGAUAAGGCAGUAAGAGCCGUUUGAGUCUGCGAUUUCCGAAUGGGGAAACCCAACUGCAUAAGCAGUUACUGUUAACUGAAUACAUAGGUUAACAGAGCAAACCGGGGGAACUGAAACAUCUAAGUACCCCGAGGAGAAGAAAUCAACCGAGAUUCCGGUAGUAGCGGCGAGCGAACCUGGAUUAGCCCUUAAGCACUCGGUGAAGUAGGUGAACAAGCUGGAAAGCUUGGCGAUACAGGGUGAUAGCCCCGUAACCGACGCUUCAUCGAGCGUGAAAUCGAGUAGGGCGGGACACGUGAUAUCCUGUCUGAAUAUGGGGGGACCAUCCUCCAAGGCUAAAUACUCCUGACUGACCGAUAGUGAACCAGUACCGUGAGGGAAAGGCGAAAAGAACCCCUGUGAGGGGAGUGAAAUAGAACCUGAAACCGUGUACGUACAAGCAGUAGGAGCACCUUCGUGGUGUGACUGCGUACCUUUUGUAUAAUGGGUCAGCGACUUAUAUUCAGUGGCAAGGUUAACCGUAUAGGGGAGCCGUAGCGAAAGCGAGUCUUAACUGGGCGCUCAGUCUCUGGAUAUAGACCCGAAACCGGGUGAUCUAGCCAUGGGCAGGUUGAAGGUUGAGUAACAUCAACUGGAGGACCGAACCGACUAAUGUUGAAAAAUUAGCGGAUGACUUGUGGCUAGGGGUGAAAGGCCAAUCAAACUCGGAGAUAGCUGGUUCUCCCCGAAAGCUAUUUAGGUAGCGCCUCGGACGAAUACUACUGGGGGUAGAGCACUGUUAAGGCUAGGGGGUCAUCCCGACUUACCAACCCUUUGCAAACUCCGAAUACCAGUAAGUACUAUCCGGGAGACACACGGCGGGUGCUAACGUCCGUCGUGGAGAGGGAAACAACCCAGACCGCCAGCUAAGGUCCCAAAGUAUUGCUAAGUGGGAAACGAUGUGGGAAGGCUCAGACAGCUAGGAUGUUGGCUUAGAAGCAGCCAUCAUUUAAAGAAAGCGUAAUAGCUCACUAGUCGAGUCGGCCUGCGCGGAAGAUGUAACGGGGCUAAGCAAUACACCGAAGCUGCGGCAAUAUCUUUUAGAUAUUGGGUAGGGGAGCGUUCUGUAAGCCGUUGAAGGUGAAUCGUAAGGUUUGCUGGAGGUAUCAGAAGUGCGAAUGCUGACAUGAGUAACGACAAAGGGGGUGAAAAACCUCCUCGCCGGAAGACCAAGGGUUCCUGUCCAACGUUAAUCGGGGCAGGGUGAGUCGACCCCUAAGGUGAGGCCGAAAGGCGUAAUCGAUGGGAAACGGGUUAAUAUUCCCGUACUUCUGACUAUUGCGAUGGGGGGACGGAGAAGGCUAGGUGGGCCAGGCGACGGUUGUCCUGGUUCAAGUGCGUAGGCUUGAGAGUUAGGUAAAUCCGGCUCUCUCUAAGGCUGAGACACGACGUCGAGCUGCUACGGCAGUGAAGUCAUUGAUGCCAUGCUUCCAGGAAAAGCCUCUAAGCUUCAGAUAGUCAGGAAUCGUACCCCAAACCGACACAGGUGGUCGGGUAGAGAAUACCAAGGCGCUUGAGAGAACUCGGGUGAAGGAACUAGGCAAAAUGGUACCGUAACUUCGGGAGAAGGUACGCUCUUGAUGGUGAAGUCCCUCGCGGAUGGAGCUGACGAGAGUCGCAGAUACCAGGUGGCUGCAACUGUUUAUUAAAAACACAGCACUGUGCAAAAUCGCAAGAUGACGUAUACGGUGUGACGCCUGCCCGGUGCCGGAAGGUUAAUUGAUGGGGUUAGCGCAAGCGAAGCUCUUGAUCGAAGCCCCGGUAAACGGCGGCCGUAACUAUAACGGUCCUAAGGUAGCGAAAUUCCUUGUCGGGUAAGUUCCGACCUGCACGAAUGGCGUAAUGAUGGCCACGCUGUCUCCACCCGAGACUCAGUGAAAUUGAAAUCGCUGUGAAGAUGCAGUGUACCCGCGGCUAGACGGAAAGACCCCGUGAACCUUUACUACAGCUUGGCACUGAACAUUGAACCUACAUGUGUAGGAUAGGUGGGAGGCUAUGAAGACGUGACGCCAGUUGCGUUGGAGCCGUCCUUGAAAUACCACCCUUGUAUGUUUGAUGUUCUAACUUAGACCCGUUAUCCGGGUUGAGGACAGUGCCUGGUGGGUAGUUUGACUGGGGCGGUCUCCUCCCAAAGAGUAACGGAGGAGCACGAAGGUGGGCUAAUCACGGUUGGACAUCGUGAGGUUAGUGCAAUGGCAUAAGCCCGCUUAACUGCGAGAAUGACGGUUCGAGCAGGUGCGAAAGCAGGUCAUAGUGAUCCGGUGGUUCUGUAUGGAAGGGCCAUCGCUCAACGGAUAAAAGGUACUCCGGGGAUAACAGGCUGAUACCGCCCAAGAGUUCAUAUCGACGGCGGUGUUUGGCACCUCGAUGUCGGCUCAUCACAUCCUGGGGCUGAAGUCGGUCCCAAGGGUAUGGCUGUUCGCCAUUUAAAGUGGUACGCGAGCUGGGUUUAGAACGUCGUGAGACAGUUCGGUCCCUAUCUGCCGUGGGCGUUGGAAGAUUGAAGGGGGCUGCUCCUAGUACGAGAGGACCGGAGUGGACGAACCUCUGGUGUUCGGGUUGUGUCGCCAGACGCAUUGCCCGGUAGCUAAGUUCGGAAUUGAUAAGCGCUGAAAGCAUCUAAGCGCGAAGCGAGCCCUGAGAUGAGUCUUCCCUGA
rnacentral:rRNA from 3 species